UACGUAGGGUGCAGGCGUUAAUCGGAAUUACUGGGCGUAAAGCGUGCGCAGGCGGCUCCUUAAGUCAGAUGUGAAAGCCCCGGGCUUAACCUGGGAACUGCGUUUGAAACUGGGGGGCUAGAGUGUGGAAGAGGGGGGUGGAAUUCCCGGUGUAGAGGUGAAAUUCGUAGAUAUCGGGAGGAAUACCAGUGGCGAAGGCGGCGACCUGGGCCAAUACUGACGCUGAGGUGCGAAAGCGUGGGGAGCAAACAGG
rnacentral:rRNA from 1 species